rnacentral:tRNA from 1 species
GGGGAUUUGGCGCAGUGGUAGAGCGCUUGCCUAGCAAGCGAAAGGCCCUGGGUUCGGUCCCCAGCUCCA